rnacentral:misc_RNA from 1 species
AACGCACCUUGCGCCCUUUGGCCAUUCCGAAGGGCAUGCCUGUUUGAGUAUCAUGAACACCUCAACUCUCAUGGCUUGCCAUGAUGAGCUUGGACUUUGGGGGUCUUGCCGGCCUGCGGUCGGCUCCUCUCAAAUGAAUCAGCUUGCCAGUGUUUGGUGGCAUCACAGGUGUGAUAACUAAUCUACGCUUGUGGUUCCCCACCAGGUAACCUUCAGUGAUGGAGGUUCGCUGGAGCUCAUAAACGUCUCUCCUCGGUGAGGACAGCUCUUUGAACGUUUGAUCUCAAAUCAGGUAGGACUACCCGCUGAACUUAA